GCUUGCUUUUUGCUGACGAGUGGCGAACGGGUGCGUAACGCGUAUGCAACCUACCUUCUUCUGAGGAAUAGCCCAGAGAAAUUUGGAUUAAAACCUCGUGAUAAUAUUUAUUCGCAUGUUUAAAUAUUUAAAAUUUCGAUGGAAGAAGAUGGGCAUGCGUAACAUUAGUUUGUUGGUGAGGUAAUGGCUCACCAAGACUACGAUGUUUAGGGGGUCUGAGAGGAUGAUCCCCCACACUGGUACUGAGACACGGACCAGACUCCUACGGGAGGCAGCAGUGAGGAAUAUUGGUCAAUGGACGAAAGUCUGAACCAGCCAUGCCGCGUGAAGGAUGACUGCCCUACGGGUUGUAAACUUCUUUUGUAUAGGAAGAAACCCCUCUACGUGUAGAGGGUUGACGGUACUAUUCGAAUAAGCACCGGCUAACUCCGUGCCAGCAGCCGCGGUAAUACGGAGGGUGCGAGCGUUAUCCGGAAUUAUUGGGUUUAAAGG
rnacentral:rRNA from 1 species